GAUGAACGCUAGCGGCAGGCUUAAUACAUGCAAGUCGUGGGGCAGCGCAGGUAGCAAUACUGGGCGGCGACCGGCAAACGGGUGCGGAACACGUACACAACCUUCCGAGAAGUGGGGAAUAGCCCAGAGAAAUUUGGAUUAAUACCCCGUAACAUAACGAUGUGGCAUCACAUUGUUAUUAUAGCUUCGGCGCUUCUUGAUGGGUGUGCGGCUGAUUAGAUAGUUGGCGGGGUAAGGCCCACCAAGUCUACGAUCAGUAGCUGAUGUGAGAGCAUGAUCAGCCACACGGGCACUGAGACACGGGCCC
rnacentral:rRNA from 1 species